rnacentral:lncRNA from 1 species
ACACUCAGGGAGUACACCAUGUGAAGACUGGACUUAAACAGCUACACCACCAGAAGCCGAGAGAGAGGCUGGAACAUAGCCUUCCCUUUGGAGGUAGCCUGGCCCGGUGGGCACUGUGAUCUCAGACUUCCAGCCUUCAGAACUAAUAACUGGGAGAUGAAACAGGAAGCUCUAUGACACACUUGAUCGAAUAUGACAGACACCGAAAAUCACGACUCAGCCCCCUCCAGCACCUCUACCUGUUGCCCGCCGAUCACAGCCGGAAUGCAGCUGAAAGAUUCCCUGGGGCCUGGUUCCAACCGCCCACUGUGGACUCUGAGGCCUCUGCAUUUGCGGGUGGUCUGCCUGUGA